AAGACGAGGAUAACAGUUGGAAACGACUGCUAAGACUGGAUAGGAGACAAGAAGGCAUCUUCUUGUUUUUAAAAGACCUAGCAAUAGGUAUGCUUAGGGAGGAGCUUGCGUCACAUUAGUUAGUUGGUGGGGUAAAGGCCUACCAAGACUAUGAUGUGUAGCCGGGCUGAGAGGUUGAACGGCCACAUUGGGACUGAGACACGGCCCAAACUCCUACGGGAGGCAGCAGUAGGGAAUUUUCGGCAAUGGAGGAAACUCUGACCGAGCAACGCCGCGUGAACGAUGAAGUAUUUCGGUACGUAAAGUUCUUUUAUUAGGGAAGAAUAAAUGAUGGAAAAAUCAUUCUGACGGUACCUAAUGAAUAAGCCCCGGCUAACUAUGUGCCAGCAGCCGCGGUAAUACAUAGGGGGCAAGCGUUAUCCGGAAUUAUUGGGCGUAAAGGGUGCGUAGGCGGUUAAAUAAGUUUAUGGUCUAAGUGCAAUGCUCAACAUUGUGAUGCUAUAAAAACUGUUUAGCUAGAGUAAGAUAGAGGCAAGUGGAAUUCCAUGUGUAGUGGUAAAAUGCGUAAAUAUAUGGAGGAACACCAGUAGCGAAGGCGGCUUGCUGGGUCUUUACUGACGCUGAGGCACGAAAGCGUGGGGAGCAAACAGGAUUAGAUACCCUGGUAGUCCACGCCGUAAACGAUGAGUACUAAACGUUGGGUAAAACCAGUGUUGAAGUUAACACAUUAAGUACUCCGCCUGAGUAGUACGUACGCAAGUAUGAAACUUAAAGGAAUUGACGGGACUCCGCACAAGCGGUGGAUCAUGUUGUUUAAUUCGAAGGUACCCGAAAAACCUCACCAGGUCUUGACAUGCUUCUGCAAAGCUGUAGAAACACAGUGGAGGUUAUCAGUUGCACAGGUGGUGCAUGGUUGUCGUCAGCUCGUGUCGUGAGAUGUUGGGUUAAGUCCCGCAACGAGCGCAACCCUUAUUGUUAGUUACCAGCACGUAAUGGUGGGGACUUUAGCAAGACUGCCAGUGAUGAAUUGGAGGAAGGUGGGGACGACGUCAAAUCAUCAUGCCCCUUAUGACCUGGGCUACAAACGUGAUACAAUGGCUGUUACAAAGGGUAGCUGAAGCGCAAGUUUUUGGCGAAUCUCAAAAAAACAGUCUCAGUUCGGAUUGAAGUCUGCAACUCGACUUCAUGAAGUUGGAAUCGCUAGUAAUCGCGAAUCAGCAUGUCGCGGUGAAUACGUUCUCGGGGUUUGUACACACCGCCCGUCAAACCACGAAAGUUG
rnacentral:rRNA from 1 species